rnacentral:rRNA from 1 species
UCGCCUGUUUAUCAAAAACAUAGUUUAGUGAAUUUAUACUAAAUUAAUUCUGCCCAGUGUCAAAAUUAGAUAAAUGGCCGCAGUACCCUGACUGUGCUAAGGUAGCAUAAUCAAUUGGCUUUUAAUUGAAGUCUGGAAUGAAAGGAUAAAUGGGAUCUUUCUGUCUUUAAGAUAUUAAUAUGAAUUUAUUUAAAAGGUGAAAAUACCUUUUUUUAAAAAAAAGACGAGAAGACCCUAAGAAUUUUUAAAAUUAAAUUUUCUUUUAAUUUUUUUGUUGGGGCGACAAUUUAGUAAAAAGUUAACCUAAAUUAUUUAAUAAGGCGAAAUUUUUAAGUAAAAUAAAAUUACCUUAGGGAUAACAGCAUAAUUUUUUAAUAGUUUGUGACCUCGAUGUUGGACUAGGAACUUUAUGGCUAGCAGUCAAAUAAGAUUUAUUCUGUUCGAAUAAUAAUAUCCU